CGCGGCCUAUCAGCUUGUUGGCGAGGUAAUGGCUCACCAAGGCGAUGACGGGUAGCCGGCCUGAGAGGGUAAUCGGCCGCACUGGGACUGAGACACUGCCCAGACUCCUACGGGAGGCAGCAGAGGAGAAUCAUUCACAAUGGGCGAAAGCCUGAUGAUGCAAUGCCGCGUGAGGGAUGAAGGCUCUUGGGUUGUAAACCUCUGUCGAGAGCUAAGAACGGCGCGGGCGUUAAUAUCGCCCGCGAUUGACUAGCUCUGAAGGAAGCUCCGGCUAACUACGUGCCAGCAGCCGCGGUAAUACGUAGGGAGCAAGCGUUACUCGGAAUUACUGGGCAUAAAGGGCGUGUAGGCGGGUGCGUCAGUCCGGUGUGAAAUCCCUCGGCUCAACCGAGGAGUGCCAUCGGAUACUGCGUGCCUUGAGUGCGGGAGGGGAGAGUGGAACUCUUGGUGGAGCGGUGAAAUGCGUAGAUAUCAAGAGGAACGCCGGCGGCGAAAGCGACUCUCUGGCCCGUAACUGACGCUGAGGCGCGAAAGCCAGGGUAGCGAACGGGAUUAGAUACCCCGGUAGUCCUGGCCCUAAACGAUGGGCACUAGGUAGUGGCAGCUCUGAUGCUGUCUCUGCCGUAGCUAAUGUGAUAAGUGCCCCGCCUGGGGAGUACGG
rnacentral:rRNA from 1 species